AGUGAACGCUGGCGGUAGGCCUAACACAUGCAAGUCGAACGGCAGCACAGUAAGAGCUUGCUCUUACGGGUGGCGAGUGGCGGACGGGUGAGGAAUACAUCGGAAUCUACUUUUUCGUGGGGGAUAACGUAGGGAAACUUACGCUAAUACCGCAUACGACCUACGGGUGAAAGCAGGGGAUCUUCGGACUUUGCGCGAUUGAAUGAGCUGAUGUCGGAUUAGCUAGUUGGCGGGGUAAAGGCCCACCAAGGCGACGCUCCGUAGCUGGUCUGAGAGGAUGAUCAGCCACACUGGAACUGAGACACGGUCCAGACUCCUACGGGAGGCAGCAGUGGGGAAUAUUGGACAAUGGGCGCAAGCCUGAUCCAGCCAUACCGCGUGAGUGAAGAAGGCCUUCGGGUUGUAAAGCCCUGUUGUUGGGAAAGAAAAGCAGCAGGUUAAUACCCCGCUGUUCUGACGGUACCCAAAGAAUAAGCACCGGCUAACUUCGUG
rnacentral:rRNA from 1 species